rnacentral:lncRNA from 1 species
AUGAGCUCUAAUUCCUCUGACUUCAGCCUGAAGUUAAAGGAAACAUUUUCAACAUCUUUUAAGAUGUUUCAUCUUGUUCCCUUUUUUCUUUUUUCCCCCGCUCCAUUCAUUGAAAGAGCAGUCUGUAUUUCCAUUUCAGUCUAUUCUUUCAUGCGCUGUUUGCCUCGCUCCAACCCAGAUCUACACGGCCACACCAAAGCAUUCUCUUUGCACCUGAGCAUUCUCAGAAGCUGUUGUCGGCUGCAUCAUAAGAUUGUUCUCUGCAAAACCAUCCUCUUCUCCAGAAAUGGCAGCUGGGCUCUGGAACAGACAGGAAUGGGUGUCACUUUGCUUGCGCUGAAAUCUUUGCAUCCCCCCUAUCCGCCGUGCUGGGCUGCAGCUGAGGGUGCACGGUGUCCACGCGAUGGCACUCUGUCACAAUCAUCUUUUGGUGCCAUUAACCUCGUGUUUGCCAGCGUGCUUUUGGGAGCUGAGCACGGAGCUUCACGAGAAGCACAGCCCUGCCUUGCUGCCUUCCCCUUGCUGUGCUACUUCAACUACAGAGCUGAAACACAAAACGUCUCCACAAAGCUGUCUGGCUUUAGGAACCUCUGAAUGUGUGGACGAAGGGCCUGAGCAAAUGGUCCCACCCUGUGCAGCGUUCAGCACUUUUGGAGGUGGAUGGACAAGGGAUGCAGUCGUCACAGCUCAUGGCUCUGGUAAAGGAGAGAGGCAGUUGCAGAGGGCAGCCCUGGUCUACCUACCGCCAUGGAAACUCAUUUGUCUCUAUUCAGGAUUUUCCCUUAGCUGA